GAUGAACGCUGGCGGCGUGCCUAAUACAUGCAAGUCGAGCGAACGGACGAGAAGCUUGCUUCUCUGAUGUUAGCGGCGGACGGGUGAGUAACACGUGGAUAACCUACCUAUAAGACUGGGAUAACUUCGGGAAACCGGAGCUAAUACCGGAUGAUAUUUUGAACCGCAUGGUUCAAAAGUGAAAGACGGUCUUGCUGUCACUUAUAGAUGGAUCCGCGCUGCAUUAGCUAGUUGGUAAGGUAACGGCUUACCAAGGCAACGAUGCAUAGCCGACCUGAGAGGGUGAUCGGCCACACUGGAACUGAGACACGGUCCAGACUCCUACGGGAGGCAGCAGUAGGGAAUCUUCCGCAAAGGGCGAAAGCCUGACGGAGCAACGCCGCGUGAGUGAUGAAGGUCUUCGGAUCGUAAAACUCUGUUAUUAGGGAAGAACAUAUGUGUAAGUAACCGUGCACAUCUUGACGGUACCUAAUCAGAAAGCCACGGCUAACUACGUG
rnacentral:rRNA from 1 species